rnacentral:lncRNA from 1 species
ACAACCCGUCCCAGCCCCGCUCCGCCGCGUGCAGGCGGCUCCCCUGGGGCCGUGAGCGGCGGGGGCUGCGCAGGGCUGCCCCUGCCCGGCUGCCCUCCUCUCCCUGCUGACCACGCAGUCCUGCCGGUAAAGGUUAGGGCAGUAAAAAUAGAGCCGGGCCAUGGGAUCCUGGGCAGGCAGGAGGCACCUGACCCCGCCGGCACGCCRGAGGAGCCAGGGACCAGCCGGAGGAGGAGGAGGCAGCUCUGCUGGGGCCGCGGGGGCUGGAGGCUGGCGUGGGGGACAGGCUUUCUUUGCACAUCCCAGGCUUGCCCCCCCCCCCCAGGGCCUCUUUUUCUCUCCCAUCCUUGUCGGAUAGCCGGGAAGGYGCUGCCGAGGCAGAGCGCGGGAUGCAUCCUCAUUUCAGCUGUGCAAUGGCCCCUGGAAGGACGGAGCCCUGUCCCCAGCCUUCCCAGCGCCCGCAGCCCACGCCACGGGGCAGGGCCUUGCUUGCCACUGUUUUUUGGCAGCUGCAGCCCCAAGGUUGGGGGCAUUCGCGAUGAGGUCCCUGGGGCACGAGCUGUCCUCCGUCAGCGCAGGGGUUUCAGCACUGGCUCUUGCUGGUGGGCGCAGGGGCAGGGAGGUCCUCGCGGGCCAGCUGAACUGGUGGCCACGCAGCGGCUUGGAGGGAGUGGAUGUGGCCAGGCCCCUUUGCACGCUGGCUGUGGGGCAGGACUGUGCCACUCGGGGGGGGGGGGAGAGCACGAGGCUCCUUGGCUCCCCGGGGACAUGUCCAGCUCCGGGGCUCUUGGGGAAGGCGAGGGAGUUCACACCUCCCGCAGGCUCGUGGCCUCCAGUCCCCAYGAGCGCUGGGCGAGGAACGGCCUCCAACGCCGUCCUCAGGCCAGGAUGCRGGAUGAGCUGGGCCCUUCCCACGGCCCCUUCCCUGCGCUGCUGGGAUGCUGCUGCCAAAAGGGCGGUUUGGGGGCUUUUUGGCCUCGUGCUGCACCGGCAAUCUUUCCCUCCGGCCUGUUACCAGGUGGGCGCAGAAGCAACACGCCAUCRCCCGGGGUAGGAAAGCAAACCCCGUGCGGGGCCGCAGCACAGACGACCAGCGCCUUCGCCCGCUCGGGACUGGGAGCUGGCAAAGCUGCCGGGAUCCGCCGCGGG